rnacentral:lncRNA from 1 species
CUUUAAUUAAAAACAUAAAAUGUUUCCCUGUUCUUUAAGGAAAGGGAGUUUCCACUGUCCUGGCACAAUAAUAAGACUUUGUGAAACUUUCUCAUUAUUCUGAUAACUGAGGUUACAGCACUCAAAAUUCAUCAAAAUGAAGCUGCUACUUUCUGUCACUCUCCUUGGCAUUUUCUCAAUAUCAGCUGAAGGACUCCAGUGUCUGAACUGCACUGAUUCAACGUGUUCAACUAUAGAAUCUGUCACAUGUUCCACUGAGACAAUGUGUAUCACAGCUUCUAUUCUCGGUAACGUUUUCAUUUGUAAUCUGAUAUUUUAAAUAAAACAUUUUCACUCUGAGGCUUUCUAUCAAUACUGACAGUCUGUGUUGUGACUCUAUAGAGACCAGCCUACUAGUUUCUUCUUCAGAACUCAGUUUCUUCAAAGGCUGUGCAUCUUCCUCUCUGUGUUCAUCCACGGGCCCAAAGACAUUCUCAGUGGAUCUGGGUCUCUCUGGUAGAUUUAUAUCUGCUGAAUGCUGUGACACACACAACUGUAACUCUCAGACCUUACCCAGUGAGUAGGAUUAUAGAAAAGAGUGACACAUUUGAUGGAGAAAAAAAGUUGAAUAUAAAACUAAAAUAUAUUAAACAUUUGUCUCUUUUACCAGGUCCUACUCCUCCUCAGUCUACCAACAGUCUGCACUGUUUCUUUUGUGCUUUUAGUCGAUGUGACAUUAGCUUUGACUGUCAAGGAGAGGAGGACAGGUGUUUUCAAGGAACGGAUAUGAUGGGUAACCCACAUCGCGGCUGUGCGUCUGCCAAUGUGUGCCAACCUGCACGAAUCAAUGGAAAACUGCCAUCUUUUGAUGAUCUUGGUGAACUUCAGGGUGGAACCACAUGCUGUGAUACUGAUCUGUGUAACGAUGGAACACCACAAGGUUUAACUCCUACAUUCUCAGCUUUAUCUACUCCUAACAUCCUCCUUCUCGCAAAUUAUCACACAUUUCAUACAAAAUUAUUUCUUCUACAUUUUAGUAUAAAGUAUCACUGCUGUUAUGUUUUUUCAUGACUCAAUAUUACAUUUUGUUGAUAGUUCUACUUGUUGAAAAGUAAAUUCUAUUUAGUCAAAAUUUCAGUCAAUUUUUAGUCAGUUUUAAUCGUCCAU